rnacentral:rRNA from 1 species
UGGGGAAUAUUGCACAAUGGGGGAAACCCUGAUGCAGCGACGCCGCGUGAGUGAAGAAGUAUUUCGGUAUGUAAAGCUCUAUCAGCAGGGAAGAAAACGACGGUACCUGACUAAGAAGCCCCGGCUAACUACGUGCC